CUUCCAACCUGCUCACUGAAGCGGACAAGCUCUAGCUCUACAAGAGUUGAGAGAAGUGUUGUGCUGGUGGUGUCACCACUAGUGUCUCAGGCCUCCGGAAGAGAGGGGCCGUGUCUCUGCUGCUAUAUUGUCUGGCAACAAAGAUGUCGAGAAGGACCUCCUUGCUAGUGUGAGUGACGUGUCCGAGGGUCGGUUCUCUCUCCUCUAUAGUGCUCCCGAGGCACUCCUUGGUAGAGAAGCGUAGAAACAGCUCCUGGUCCAACGUCCCCUCUGUGACUCUGUAGUGGCAGUCGCUGUUGACGAAGCACACUGUGCGUAUAAGUGGUACAGAGAUCUACCAUUGGGUUGCUGAGUACUGGCAGUCUCACCAGAAGUUGCUUGAGUAUAACGUUGCUCCGAUCCCUCAGCGGCACAUCUCGUUCACAUGGAGCAGUGACUAACAAAAUUAAUUAACAGUAAUUUUUGAAACUCAUCUUACUCUUGUUUUUAUUACUCUUGUCCUGGACGGGGAAACAGAGUCGCCUUCCAGCGGCUCCAACGGUCUAACGCUUAGCUAAUGGUGGUCUUGCUACGUGUGUGUGUGUGUGGAGAAACCCCUACCUCAUGCACUAGUGUCUUUGGAUAUCUUUCUCGGAGCCGAGUAUACUCAUUGGGGUGCCAGUGACACUUGUGAGAGGCCUGGGUAGCCAUCUCUAGCUCUCUGUUGUUUUAAUGUAUUUUUCCUACAAAGUGGUAUAACGUAUUCUCAUUCUGUUUAUUUUCCGUUUUAUUAUCAACAAUAAAUUUCGCGCAUGUGCA